GAUGGCUACCCCUUUGACGGCCCCGGCGGCACCGUGGCCCACGCCUUCUUCCCCGGCGACCACCACACCGCCGGGGACACCCACUUUGACGAUGACGAGGCCUGGACCUUCCGCUCCUCGGAUGCCCACGGGAUGGACCUGUUUGCAGUGGCUGUCCACGAGUUUGGCCACGCCAUUGGGUUGAGCCAUGUGGCCGCUGCACACUCCAUCAUGCGGCCAUACUACCAGGGCCCGGUGGGUGACCCGCUGCGCUACGGGCUCCCCUACGAGGACAAGGUGCGCGUCUGGCAGCUGUACGGUGUGCGGGAGUCUGUGUCUCCCACGGCGCAGCCCGAGGAGCCUCCCCUGCUGCCGGAGCCCCCAGACAACCGGUCCAGCGCCCCCAACUGGAUUCCAAGUGAAGUUGUCUUGAGAGCUGGUAUUGCCAGAGGCCAGUAGAAGCUGUGACCUUGUGUCACCCAGCCUCAGAUGUCACAGGACCGCCCAGGAAGGACGUGCCCCACAGAUGCAGCACUCACUUUGACGCGGUGGCCCAGAUCCGGGGUGAAGCUUUCUUCUUCAAAGGCAAGUACUUCUGGCGGCUGACGCGGGACCGGCACCUGGUGUCCCUGCAGCCAGCGCAGAUGCACCGCUUCUGGCGGGGCCUGCCGCUGCACCUG
rnacentral:sRNA from 1 species